AGAAUCAACGCUGGCGGCGUGCCUAACACAUGCAAGUCGAACGAGAAGGCGGGGGCAACUCCGUGAGUAAAGUGGCGUACGGGUGAGUAACACGUAGCUAACCUACCCUCGAGUGAGGAAUAACCUGGGGAAACUCGGGCUAAUACCCCAUAACAUCCGGGUUGCGCAAGCAGUCUGGAGCAAAGGUCCGCAAGGGCCGCUUGAGGAGGGGGCUGCGGCCGAUUAGCUAGUUGGUGAGGUAACGGCCCACCAAGGCGAUGAUCGGUA
rnacentral:rRNA from 1 species